UACAAAUUUCUAUGGUGAGUAUUAAACAUACAGAAACAAAAGGCUGACUAUUUAGCAUGUUUAAGACAAUACAAUAAUAAGCAAAACGCUAUGAAUAUCAUACCAUUUGUGAUGUUAUUAAUAUUGUGCUCAUAUUUGAAUAUAAAAUAAAAUAAACACUUUUCAUGUCAAAUUAACUUGUCUUCUGUUUCAGCUGCUGUGUAUUCGACCCCCUUCAUAACAGUUCAGUGCAUAAAUAAUUCAAUCCACAUGACAUCUUCCUUCAAUUUGUUGAAUAAAUUUUGGCAACAUGUUCUUCAAACAUCUUCUUUGUAUAUUUGAUAUGAUGGAGCCAUGUACAUGAAUGGAUAAAGCAGGACAAGAACUAUAGAAGAUACAGAGAAAUAAUAUACAGCAGAACUGAUAGGCAAUGUAAAAUUUGCAGAAGCCAACUAAACCUAAAUGGUGAUCAGACAUCUUGGUUUUCAUGAUCAAUAGGUCAUUACUGAAGAGGAAACCUAAAGUUGAAAUUUAUUUACAUAGUGCAUAAUUGGAUUAAUUUGAAAUGGAAUGUGUGCUUUCCUGCAAAAAAGAAAUAGGAAAUUUCAACAUUAUCACAUGAUAAUGACCAUAUAAAACAAAAUGGAGUUAUAUCAUAGAUACAUAAAAACACUAUUGCAUAGAAGCAACAACAUAUCUUAAUCAAAAGAAAGGAGAAUGCAGAACAAAUACUAUUUUGUUGUUGAAAAAAGGAACACCAGUUUUAUCCACUCACUUACAUCACUCCCUCAUAUCAAAUAUACAGAAGAAGAUCAUUGAAGAACAAUUUGCAAAAAUGAUUUCUCUUAGAAUUAAAGGGAAUUGUUUAGUGAAUGGAAUAAUGUAUUCACUGAAUUCUUACAUAGUGGAUUGAAUAACUGUACACAAGCUGAAACAGAAGAAAUUCUAAUUUAAAAUAACACGAAAAGUGUUUAUUUUAUUAUUUAAUCUGCAAAUAUAUAAACAAAUUCUUUAGAACACCACAAAUGAUAUAAUGACAUUCAAAUUGGUUGCUUAUUAAUGUAUCGCAUUGAAACAAUUACAAAGAAAACAGAAGCAUUUGCUCCAAAAAAAUUAUAAAUCAAAGUUAAAUUUAUAUAAAAAGUAUAAACAAUA